rnacentral:rRNA from 1 species
GACGAACGCUGGCGGCGUGCUUAACACAUGCAAGUCGAACGGAAAGGCCCUGCUUUUGUGGGGUGCUCGAGUGGCGAACGGGUGAGUAACACGUGAGUAACCUGCCCUUGACUUUGGGAUAACUUCAGGAAACUGGGGCUAAUACCGGAUAGGAGCUUCUGCUGCAUGGUGGGGGUUGGAAAGUUUCGGCGGUUGGGGAUCGACUCGCGGCUUAUCAGCUUGUUGGUGGGGUAGUGGCUUACCAAGGGUUCGACGGGUAGCCGGCAUGAGAGGGUGAACGGCCACAUUGGGACUGAGAUACGGCGCAGACUCCUACGGGAGGCAGCAGUGGAGAAUAUUGCACAAUGGGGGGAAGCCUGAUGCAGAAACGCCGCGUGCGGGAUGACGGCCUUCGGGUUGUAAACCGCUUUCGCCUGUGACGAAGCGGGAGUGACGGUAAUGGGUAAAGAAGCACCGGCUAACUACGUG